rnacentral:RNase_P_RNA from 2 species
UGAGUCAGCCGGGCAAUUGCUGCAACCCGCCUUUUCUGAGGCAUGGCUUGCAGAGGAAAGUCCGGGCUCCACAGAGCAGGGUGCCAGGUAACACCUGGGGGGCGUGAGCCUACGGCAAGUGCAGCAGAAAAUAUACCGCCGAAUUGCGUUUGUGAUUUGGUAAGGGUGAAAUGGUGCGGUAAGAGCGCACCGCGCGACUGGCAACAGUUCGUGGCAAGGUAAACCCCACUCGGAGCAAGGCCAAAUAGGAAUCCUGAGAUGCUGCUCGCAUCGGGUUCGGGUAGGCCGCUACAAGUUUGUGGUGACGCAAGCUGCAGAUGAAUAAUUGUCCUAGACAGAACCCGGCUUACAGGCUGACUCGCUUU